rnacentral:sRNA from 1 species
GCCGCAGGUUCGGGACUCACGCAGUGAGACAACGGAGCCGCUUGCGGCGACGGCCCGAAGGGCGAGCGAAGCGAGUCAUCCUGCACGACCCACCA